UGGGGAAUAUUGCACAAUGGGCGCAAGCCUGAUGCAGCCAUGCCGCGUGUAUGAAGAAGGCCUUCGGGUUGUAAAGUACUUUCAGUCGGGAGGAAGGUGGUAAGGUUAAUAACCUUAUCAAUUGACGUUACCGACAGAAGAAGCACCGGCUAACUCCGUGCCAGCAGCCGCGGUAAUACGGAGGGUGCAAGCGUUAAUCGGAAUUACUGGGCGUAAAGCGCACGCAGGCGGUUGAUUGAGUCAGAUGUGAAAUCCCCGGGCUUAACCCGGGAAUUGCAUCUGAUACUGGUCAGCUAGAGUCUUGUAGAGGGGGGUAGAAUUCCAUGUGUAGCGGUGAAAUGCGUAGAGAUGUGGAGGAAUACCGGUGGCGAAGGCGGCCCCCUGGGCAAAGACUGACGCUCAGGUGCGAAAGCGUGGGGAGCAAACAGG
rnacentral:rRNA from 1 species